CACAGAACCUUGAUGGGUCUGGGGUUUGUCCUGCAGCUGGAAUGCCAAGCCACAAAAGGGCAGUGAGAAAGCCAGGGCACCAGAAAAUAACGGGGAGCAGGAUGUCUGAAGCCUCCGUGGGGCAAGAUCUGCAAAUGAGCUGAAAGCUGAAGCUGUUUUCACAGGCAGAAAACUGGACUUUGGUGGACAGCCACAAAAGAGUAUGUGACCUUUUAUUCAAGAAAAGAUGAAUAGCUAUUUGUGGAUACUGGAAAUGCGAAGGUUCCCGCGGCUGCUGGCAAAGAGCCUUGGUCCACCACGAUGCCUUCUUCUUGUCCUGAGCUACCUUGAAUCAGGGACAUGAGAAAAGGGAUGCUGGAAAGUCUUUGUAUAACAUUGGACAAAAGAAAAAAAACUGAGACCAGAGGAAAGAAGUUUCUGUUGUCUCUGAGGCCUUCCAUAAGAGCGAAUGAUGAACUGACCUUAUUUCUCAGAACUGGAUGUAAACAUGCCAUCUUUCUGCCUGCUGCAUCUGUGACCUCACCAUGCCCAGCAUAAGCUUAUGCUGACCCCAGAAUGUGGCAGUAUUAUUCCAACUCAGUGGUUUGAGGAGAGCUUCCUUUGAGGGUAUUCUAUCAAUGAUUCCAUCUUUCCACUGCCCAGGAAGGUCCUCCUCCACCCCCACCUCUUCUUUCCUGAAAUAAAAGCCAUUGAAUAGUUCAAUCAGCUUCAUUAGUUGGCUAGUGUCAAGGGCCAUUACAGUCUCUGCUGUGAUUUGAUGAUAUCUCUUCACUUUGUUAUUUUUCAGCUCCUAAUUGCACCCUAUACUUUUGACAUCUCUAUUGGACUGAUGUUAAUGUCAAGUUGUUCUGAUUUAUGUGCUUCAUUGAAAUCUGGUACUGAGGCAGCUGAUACAUGAAUUGGUUGAGGACUUUUUGAAGUGCUCUAGCUACAAGCCUUUCUUUUUGACUUCUGUAGCACCUAGAAGUAGUUUUAUUUUUGAGAAAAGAAUAAAUGCAUAUGAGUUUGAAAUUGCACAUGAUGUUAAAAGUACAUCAACUUAUGUUCAAAUUAGAAAGGGAAGAUAUUAAUAAUACUUAAUAUUAUGCAAUUUUUUGGAAAAAUUAAAAUAACUUAAAAAAAGCUUUAUAAAAGCAAUACAUGCUCAUGGCCAGAAAAC
rnacentral:lncRNA from 1 species